ACUGCGUAACAUUAUAUUAUCGCAUGGUAAAAUAAUCAAUCUACGGAGGAUACAGAUGGGCAUGCGUGCCAUUAGCUAGAUGGUAAGGUAAGGGCUUACCAUGGCGACGAUGGCUAGGGGUUCUGCAAGGAAGAUCCCCCACACUGGUACUGAGACACGGACCAGACUCCUACGGGAGGCAGCAGUGAGGAAUAUUGGUCAAUGGAGGCAACUCUGAACCAGCCAAGCCGCAUGAAGGAAGACUGUUCUAUGAAUUGUAAACUUCUUUUGUGACAGAGUAAAGAUAGCUACGCGUAGUUAUUUGCAAGUAUGUCAUGAAUAAGCAUCGGCUAACUCCGUGCCAGCAGCCGCGGUAAUACGGAGGAUGCAGGCGUUAUCCGGAUUUAUUAGGUUUAAAGGGUGUUCAGGCUGUCUGGUAAGUCAGAGGUGAAAGUCGGUUGCUUAACGAUCGAAUUGCCUUUGAAACUGUCAGACUUGAGUAUGGAUGCGGUAGGCGGAAUGUGUAGUGUAGCGGUGAAAUGCAUAGAUAUUACACAGAACACCGAUUGCGAAAGCAGCUUACCAAACCAGCACUGACGCUGAAGCACGAAAGCGUGGGUAGCGAACAGGAUUAGAUACCCUGGUAGUCCACGCAGUAAACGAUGUUCACUCGCUGUUGGCAAUAGAUCGUCAGCGGCUAAGGGAAACCGAUAAGUGAGCCACCUGGGGAGUACGAUCGCAAGAUUGAAACUCAAAGGAAUUGACGGGGGCCCGCACAAGCGGUGGAACAUGUGGUUUAAUUCGAUGAUACGCGAGGAACCUUACCUGGGCUUAAAUGUACGAUGCAUAAGUGUGAAAGCACUUUUUCCUUCGGGACUUUGUACAAGGUGCUGCAUGGUUGUCGUCAGCUCGUGCCGUGAGGUGUCGGGUUAAGUCCCAUAACGAGCGCAACCCCUAUUGUUAGUUACCAGCGCGUAAAGGCGGGGACUCUAGCGAAACUGCCGGUGUAAA
rnacentral:rRNA from 1 species